ncrna:unclassified sequences L31-Corynebacteriaceae ribosomal protein leader
ACUCGGGCACGAUCCGUACCGUCAUAGUUGUUCAGUGUGCGGAACCGACCCGUAGUCCAACCCUGAGGGA